UACGUAGGCGGCAACAUAAGUCGUGCGUGAAAGGCAGGGGCUCAACCUCUGGAGUGCGCAUGAUACUGUGAGGCUAGAGUAAUGGAGAGGGAACCGGAAUUCUUGGGUAGUAGCAGUGAAAUGCGUAGAUAUCAAGAAGAAGACUCGUGGCGAAGGCGGGUUCCUGGACAUUUACUGACGCUGAGGUACGAAGGCUAGGGUAGCGAAAG
rnacentral:rRNA from 1 species